rnacentral:rRNA from 1 species
GGGGAAUAUUGCGCAAUGGGGGAAACCCUGACGCAGCACUCCCGCGUGCGUCCAGCAGCUCUUCGGAUCGUCAAGCUCUGCUAUCGGGGGAGAACAAACGCCGGUACCCAAGAAGAAAGUUCCGGCUAACUACGUGCCAGCAGCCGCGGUAAUACGUAGGGGACAAGCGUUGUCCGGAUUUACUGGGCGUAAAGGGCACGCAGGCGGUUUUUUAAGUCAGAUGUGAAAGGUACCGGCUCAACCGGUGACAUGCAUUUGAAACUGAAAGACUUGAGUAUUGGAGAGGCAAGUGGAAUUCCUAGUGUAGCGGUGAAAUGCGUAGAUAUUAGGAGGAACACCGGUGGCGAAGGCGGCUUGCUGGACAAAUACUGACGCUGAGGUGCGAAAGCGUGGGGAGCAAACA